UUGUGGAGUGAUGAUCACUGGUCUACAGAGAACGGUUUGUGUACGCCAAAUUUCGUAUUUGUGUUAUUCUGCUUAAAACACACGUUUCCUCAUAAACAAUGUAGCGAUAAAUCGUACACUUUGGACUGUCUGUCGCCGAAACCAUCUUGUUCUUCUGUUCCUUGCUUUUGAAACAUUCUGCAAGCAGGUUUCCGUGCUCAUGCGCAGUUCUGUAUCCUCUUCCACCCACUUUCGCUUGUUUUCAUGAUCCACCCUAACCUCUCAAAUAUGGAGCUACAUGUCGAAAAGAACCAUCCAGACUCAAUAACCCGUUUCGUAUAUUCAACAAACAAACUAAAGGUUUGGACCGCUCCUACUACACCCCACCACGACGUACUCACCCCCAUCAAUGAUGCUAGAGUCGUCGUACAUUAUAAAACGUUACGCAUGAAUGAAUUCUGUUUAUUCGUUCUAGUGGAAAGGGGCAGUGUGCAUGCUGGUACAGCGUGUCUCAAUAUCUCAGUUACUAUGAAAAUGUAACAAAAGAUGCUGAAGAAUAUUAUGGACCUGUUUGUUCUCACAGCACACGAGAAGGUGUAAGUGAAUAGACUGAGCGAUCGGGGUUCGAUUUCCGAAGAAAAAAAGACUUCAUCCUUUUGUACCAUGUUCAAAUCGGCAUUGGGUCACCAGACACUUGCGUAGUGGACAUUGGACACUCUCUAUCCGAAGACGAAAUUGCCGAAGCUUGACCGUAAAAACCGAAGCGGGAACCUACAGUUAGCACGCUGAGAACAGAGGCAGACGGCGGGAUGGGUUUGUGCGGAACAUGGCGGACAGCUGUCGGGGAGACGCUGCUCCUGUUGGCGGGAUGUGGACCACCAAUCGCCCGGUUUCAAGACGACCGGCCCCCCGCUUGUGAGCCUUCUUGUUGGUUUCGUGGCUCCAUCACUGGUCUUGGAGGUUGGCUUUGGGAGGGAGAGGCUGCUCCAAUAUGGCGACAUCCCCCCUUCUGUAGUACUACCAACCAUUAUAUGAAAGACAGGAAUUAAACUCAUAACGAAGAUUCACAGGUCAAAAAUAAAACAAAAUCAAUAAUGAACUUCUUGAAAGUAUGUGUUCACUUUCGAAAACGUAUUUCAGAUUUAAUACAACUUGUAGACCACACCGAAGUUGUUUUUUGGGGGCUGAAAACAGUUGAAAAGCAGAGCAGUUUUUCACUGUAUCUCUGGCUCCGCCCAGCUGUCUGCUCACUGGAGCUUGACAAACGCCGGGGUCCCGCCAUCUUGGAUCUUGUGUCAGCUAGGCAUGCUGGGUAAAGAGAAACGAUUUCAAAUGGCUGACUGCACAUCUGUCUUUUUCUUAAAAUCUUCUCACUCUGUUAUGUAAUACCCCUUCACUUUUACUACAAGAAACUUCGAAAUGAUUUUUAUAAGCGUAAAUUUUGAAUUUUCGUAAAGCAGAAAGAGGAACACGAUAAUGAGAUUAGAAUUGUGUAGCUUAAAUAGCGUGAAAAAGUUUAUUCCGGAAUAAGCUGUGUGGCCUAAACCAUUUUUUACGUAAGUGUGUGUGGCAUUUCUCACUCCUGUGUUCCGUAUUUUAACCGGGUCUGAGGUUCUGGGCUUCUUUCCGUUAGUCAGCAAUUUGUGUCGUGUGGAUUGAUUAGAAGCCAGUCAUCUUCCUAUUGCAUCUUAUUCUGAUGCUUAUGACUCAAGGUCGAACUAUUCUUGGUACGAAACACACAAACAUUGUUUCAGGACUUAGCUCUUGAUGAUAAAGGCCUGUAGACAAAUAAUAUUUAAAAAUUAAUAAACAUGUCAAUUAAAUGCACUUGUAUCAUUACGAAACACAUAGACUUAUCUAAAUAAACACUUCAAUAAAGUUCAUUAU